GACGAACGCUGGCGGCGUGCUUAACACAUGCAAGUCGAACGGUAAGGCCCUUCGGGGUACACGAGUGGCGAACGGGUGAGUAACACGUGGGUAAUCUGCCCUGCACAUCGGGAUAAGCCUGGGAAACUGGGUCUAAUACCGAAUAGGACCACAGAACACAUGUCCUGUGGUGGAAAGCUUUUGCGGUGUGGGAUGGGCCCGCGGCCUAUCAGCUUGUUGGUGGGGUGAUGGCCCACCAAGGCGACGACGGGUAGCCGGCCUGAGAGGGUGUCCGGCCACACUGGGACUGAGAUACGGCCCAGACUCCUACGGGAGGCAGCAGUGGGGAAUAUUGCACAAUGGGCGAAAGCCUGAUGCAGCGACGCCGCGUGGGGGAUGACGGCCUUCGGGUUGUAAACCUCUUUCACCAUCGACGAAGGUUCGGGUUUUCUCGGAUUGACGGUAGGUGGAGAAGAAGCACCGGCCAACUACGUGCCAGCAGCCGCGGUAAUACGUAGGGUGCGAGCGUUGUCCGGAAUUACUGGGCGUAAAGAGCUCGUAGGUGGUUUGUCGCGUUGUUCGUGAAAUCUCACGGCUUAACCGUGAGCGUGCGGGCGAUACGGGCAGACUUGAGUACUGCAGGGGAGACUGGAAUUCCUGGUGUAGCGGUGGAAUGCGCAGAUAUCAGGAGGAACACCGGUGGCGAAGGCGGGUCUCUGGGCAGUAACUGACGCUGAGGAGCGAAAGCGUGGGGAGCGAACAGGAUUAGAUACCCUGGUAGUCCACGCCGUAAACGGUGGGUACUAGGUGUGGGUUUCCUUCCUUGGGAUCCGUGCCGUAGCUAACGCAUUAAGUACCCCGCCUGGGGAGUACGGCCGCAAGGCUAAAACUCAAAGAAAUUGACGGGGGCCCGCACAAGCGGCGGAGCAUGUGGAUUAAUUCGAUGCAACGCGAAGAACCUUACCUGGGUUUGACAUGCACAGGACGCCGGCAGAGAUGUCGGUUCCCUUGUGGCCUGUGUGCAGGUGGUGCAUGGCUGUCGUCAGCUCGUGUCGUGAGAUGUUGGGUUAAGUCCCGCAACGAGCGCAACCCUUGUCUCAUGUUGCCAGCGGGUAAUGCCGGGGACUCGUGAGAGACUGCCGGGGUCAACUCGGAGGAAGGUGGGGAUGACGUCAAGUCAUCAUGCCCCUUAUGUCCAGGGCUUCACACAUGCUACAAUGGCCGGUACAAAGGGCUGCGAUGCCGCGAGGUUAAGCGAAUCCUUUUAAAGCCGGUCUCAGUUCGGAUCGGGGUCUGCAACUCGACCCCGUGAAGUCGGAGUCGCUAGUAAUCGCAGAUCAGCAACGCUGCGGUGAAUACGUUCCCGGGCCUUGUACACACCGCCCGUCACGUCAUGAAAGUCGGUAACACCCGAAGCCAGUGGCCUAACCCUUUGGGAGGGAGCUGUCGAAGGUGGGAUCGGCGAUUGGGACG
rnacentral:rRNA from 1 species